rnacentral:rRNA from 1 species
UACGGAGGGUGCAAGCGUUAUCCGGAUUUACUGGGUUUAAAGGGUGCGUAGGCGGGCUUUUAAGUCAGCGGUGAAAGCUUCGGGCUUAACCCGGAAAUUGCCGUUGAUACUAUUAGUCUUGAAUUAAGUUGAGGUGGGCGGAAUAAGUCAUGUAGCGGUGAAAUGCUUAGAUAUGACUUAGAACACCGAUUGCGAAGGCAGCUCGCUAAACUUAUAUUGACGCUGAGGCACGAAAGCGUGGGGAUCAAACAGG